GGUGAGUAAUGUCUGGGAAACUGCCUGAUGGAGGGGGAUAACUACUGGAAACGGUAGCUAAUACCGCAUAACGUCGCAAGACCAAAGAGGGGGACCUUCGGGCCUCUUGCCAUCGGAUGUGCCCAGAUGGGAUUAGCUAGUAGGUGGGGUAACGGCUCACCUAGGCGACGAUCCCUAGCUGGUCUGAGAGGAUGACCAGCCACACUGGAACUGAGACACGGUCCAGACUCCUACGGGAGGCAGCAGUGGGGAAUAUUGCACAAUGGGCGCAAGCCUGAUGCAGCCAUGCCGCGUGUAUGAAGAAGGCCUUCGGGUUGUAAAGUACUUUCAGCGGGGAGGAAGGGAGUAAAGUUAAUACCUUUGCUCAUUGACGUUACCCGCAGAAGAAGCACCGGCUAACUCCGUGCCAGCAGCCGCGGUAAUACGGAGGGUGCAAGCGUUAAUCGGAAUUACUGGGCGUAAAGCGCACGCAGGCGGUUUGUUAAGUCAGAUGUGAAAUCCCCGGGCUCAACCUGGGAACUGCAUCUGAUACUGGCAAGCUUGAGUCUCGUAGAGGGGGGUAGAAUUCCAGGUGUAGCGGUGAAAUGCGUAGAGAUCUGGAGGAAUACCGGUGGCGAAGGCGGCCCCCUGGACGAAGACUGACGCUCAGGUGCGAAAGCGUGGGGAGCAAACAGGAUUAGA
rnacentral:rRNA from 1 species